GGGUCCUGGUCUUCCUGUCAUGGACUAAUUGGGUCAUCCAACAUUCACCCACAUCAACAACAAUCGAUGCAAUGCGGCAUAUUCGUGAAAUCUAAUGCAAUCAUCCUAUUGCAUAAUCAUGAUGCAUGAAACAUGAUAAAACAUUUAAUUUCUCAAUUUAAAGGAUUUAGUUUAGUUCCACUCACCUCUGGCUGACUCUGACAACAC
rnacentral:lncRNA from 1 species